UUGGAGGGCAAGUCUGGUGCCAGCAGCCGCGGUAAUUCCAGCUCCAAUAGCGUAUAUUAAAGUUGUUGCAGUUAAAAAGCUCGUAGUUGAAUUUCGGGAUCAGAUUGUCGGUCGUGCCUCGGUACGCACUGGUAUUAUUGGUUCCUACCUUCUGAAGAACCGCGAUGUCAUUAAUUUGGUGUCGUGGGGAAUCAGGACUGUUACUUUGAAAAAAUUAGAGUGUUUAAAGCAGGCUUACGCUUGAACGCAUUAGCACGGAAUAAUGAAAUAGGACGUUUGAUUCUAUUUUGUUGGUUUCUAGGAUUGACGUAAUGAUUAAUAGGGAUAGUUGGGGGCAUUAGUAUUCAAUUGUCAGAGGUGAAAUUCUUGGAUUUAUUGAAGACUAACUACUGCGAAAGCAUUUGCCAAGGAUGUUUUCAUUAAUCAAGAACGAAAGUUAGGGGAUCGAAGACGAUCAGAUACCGUCGUAGUCUUAACCAUAAACUAUGCCGACUAGGGAUCGGAUGAUGUUAAUUUUUUAAUGACUCAUUCGGCGCCUUACGGGAAACCAAAGUGUUUGGGUUC
rnacentral:rRNA from 1 species